rnacentral:rRNA from 1 species
CCUACGGGCGGCUGCAGUGGGGAAUAUUGCACAAUGGGCGCAAGCCUGAUGCAGCCAUGCCGCGUGUGUGAAGAAGGCCUUCGGGUUGUAAAGCACUUUCAGCGGGGAGGAAGGCGGUGAGGUUAAUAGCCUCAUCGAUUGACGUUACCCGCAGAAGAAGCACCGGCUAACUCCGUGCCAGCAGCCGCGGUAAUACGGAGGGUGCAAGCGUUAAUCGGAAUUACUGGGCGUAAAGCGCACGCGGGCGGUCUGUCAAGUCGGAUGUGAAAUCCCCGGGCUCAACCUGGGAACUGCAUUCGAAACUGGCAGGCUAGAGUCUUGUAGAGGGGGGUAGAAUUCCAGGUGUAGCGGUGAAAUGCGUAGAGAUCUGGAGGAAUACCGGUGGCGAAGGCGGCCCCCUGGACAAAGACUGACGCUCAGGUGUGAAAGCGUGGGGAGCAAACAGGAUUAGAUACCCCUGUAGUC